UGUAGGAACUUACAAAAUUCCCGAGGAAUGCAGCAUAAAUCUGACACCAUUUGAUAUUUAUACUUGCAAUAGAAUGUUUGAAGAGAAGGAAAGUUUGAUAGCUAGCUAGUCAUGCUCAUUUGAGGGAAUAGUUGACCUUAAUGGAUUUAGCUUUCUCAACAACCUAUUGAACUGUGAUUGGUUCUAGGUAUGAGCUGCUUCUUCCUCUUAUCUUUUUGGA
rnacentral:lncRNA from 1 species